UACGUAGGGGGCAAGCGUUGUCCGGAUUCAUUGGGCGUAAGGAGCGUGUAGGCGGCCAGGUAGGUCGGUUGUGAAAACUGGAGGCUCAACCUUCAGAGGUCGACCGAAACCAUCUGGCUAGAGUCCGGGAGAGGAAAGUGGAAUUCCUGGUGUAGCGGUGAAAUGCGUAGAUAUCAGGAGGAACACCGGUGGUGUAGACGGCUUUCUGGAUCGUAACUGACGCUGAGACACGAAAGCGUGGGUAGCAAACAGG
rnacentral:rRNA from 1 species